GCCUCGGUGGUGUAGUGGUGAGAGCACGCGUCCCCGGAUAGGGGUAGGAUGAAACGCGGGUUCGAUUCCCGCCUGAGGCC